GCCUCGGCCGCGCCCCCGGCCACCCACGCCGUCCGGGCGCGGGUGCCAGUGCGGGACCCGGGAGGGGCGCGGGUUACGUAAGUCCGGCUGCCCCGCGUCACCGGGCAGCCACGGCCGCGGGGAGGGGCCGCGCCAGUGCCCAGGCGGCGGGGCCCGGGCUGCACCUGAGGGCCGGGCGCAGGCUGGGAGACUCACCGCGGGGCCGACCGGGCUGCGGGCCGGCGUCCCUGUCCUCCGCGGGCGAGCAGCCACCAACAGUAGGGGUAGUUUCGGCCCCCCACGCCCUUGCCUGCUGGGAGAUCCUGGCUCAGGGUGGCACAGAGCCCCACCGUGCUCCGCGGGGACCAGAGACCCAAGGGACAGAGGACAGCUACUCAUUAAAACAUGUUCUGCUGUCACAGACACAAGGACCUCACCCGCUGGUGGGCACAGUGGCAUUCACCAAACGAGGGCCCGGGUUCUGACGCCGGCGGUCGGUCCAGCCCCUCAGCUACUGGCCAGCAGUGGGCCGUGGGCAGUGUGAUUGCCUGCUGAGUACCAGCCGCUCCCUGCAAGCUGAACCAGGUGGGCUCCGGAAGUCAGAAGUGACCUGCAGGCCAGAGCAGGAAGUGGUCAGGGGCCAAGAGAGGCUGUGCUGUCCCAUGGCCCUGCCCUUCUGCCACCUGGCUGCACAAGGCCAAGCUAACCUGGCCAGGCACUGCAGAGCCUGUCCCCCCCUGCAUGCAGUGCCCCCUUGCCCACCCUCGUCCCCACCCUACCCCACUGGUCUCUCUGGCCUGGUGGAGUUGCCACUGAGGCAAAAGACAGAACAAAACUAGGUGAAGGCUGAAUGUGUAGUGGCGCAAGCCUGUAAUCCCAACACUCUGGAGGCUGAGGCAGGAAGAUUGCAAGUUCAAGCCCAGCCUGGGCAACUUAAUGCCUUGGCGAGACCCUGCCUCAAAAUAAAAAAUUUAAAAAGGGCCAAGGAUGUAGCUCAGUUUGGAGGCCCUGGGUUCAGUGCCCAGUACCACAAAAAUAGUGCCAAACCUAUGAUUUUUACAAAUCCUAGAAGCCACACACAGACUACGCCGAAGACGGCGCCCUGGCGCAGAGUCUGUACAGAGGCUGCGGCCUGGUGGUUUUCACACCGGACACUUGGUGUCUCAUCUUUCCAACCCGCAGACUCAGAGCUGCCAAGCACAGCGUCUGGGGCCGACCAUGCCCCACACACGCAUCUCCCCUGCCCGGGGAGCAAGAUCACGACGCCACGGCUCCGGAGGGGACACAGCUGGAGCAGGGACAGCACCCCCGCCUGGGAGGGAGGCUCCGCUCCUGUGUUCAUCCCCGAGACGGCAGCAGGCACUGGAGGGGCAGGGUCUGUCCCAGACCUGAGUCGGUGCCCACCCGGCUCUGAGCACCUGGGGGGGGGGGGCUUCCUGGAGGAGGGGCCCCGUCCCCCAUCACUGGUCAGAGCCCUGGGACCUGAGCCAAAGGCCCAACCCGGGGCUGCACCGCCCAGGGCCUGAGCACGCUGACUUCUCUGCACCCUGCCUGACCCCACACGAAGGCCCUUUUGGCCCCAGAACCUCAGCCUGCAGCCUGGGUCCCUGUGGGUGCCGCCUCUUUGGCAUGGCACGGCUCCCCGGAAAAGGCACGGCCCGUCCCGGGGUGGGGGUGCAGGUGGAGUCACCCCGUAACUGUAGUGACUAAGCUAGGCGGAG
ensembl:lncRNA